rnacentral:snRNA from 1 species
AUACUUACCUGGCAGGGAAGAUACCAUGAUCAUGAAGGUGGUUUUCCCAAGGCAAGACUUAUCCAUUUCACGCAACAAAAGUUGACAGGGCACCCGCCGUGUGCUGGACCCUGCAGGAAGGC